CAAACGGCUCUUUUCAGAGCCACCCUAAGGGGUCGUCAAGAGAGCU
rfam:Callipepla squamata strain Texas jcf7180005228162, whole genome shotgun sequence.